rnacentral:lncRNA from 1 species
ACCUGGAGCCCAGGGGGGUGAGGGGAAGCCGGCCGGGUGCACCUGUCAUAGCUGACCUGGAGACCAGGGGGUGAGGGGAAGGUGGUGGGCGCACCUGUCAUAGUCCUGGCAGAUCUCGCCCACGGACACCAGUGCCUUCAGGUACUCGUUCGGCUGGUAGGGGUUGAUGUAGUGCAGGGAGCAGCUGUUCCGCGGGUCUCCAUUGGAGGCGGUGAAGUCAAUGGCCACCUGCAGCGGGCCGGGAGCCAGGAGCUGUGCUGGGCUGGGGCUCCCCGAACCCACUCCUGACAGGUAGAGAAACCGCGCCCAGAGUGGCCAGGACUCAGGGUCAGGGGUCGCGUGGGUGGGUAGGGCUGGGGGGCUGCUGUUGGGGCUGACCCACCUGCUACACAGGGCCAGGAGGGGUCUCCUCAAAACCUGCCAGCCCCUAGGCUCCCUGGAUCUCCGGGAGGACACCCCAGCAGGAUCACCCUGGCCUUGUGGGGGCCCCGCCCAUCCUUCUUAGUGGCCACCCAACCCCUCUACCACCCUCCCCGGCAGGGCCUAAGUGGACCAAGCCUGGUCUGGGUCCCCUCCACAUUUCCCACUUGCUGGCUUCUCCCAAAGCCAUUCUGGGGCUCGUUCAACAAAACACGAACCAGCGCAUCUGCAAAUAACACGCGGGUGACACGGGGGCCGUGUAUCUGUGGGUGACACGCGGGUGACACGGGGGCCGUGUAUCUGUGGGUGACACGCGGGUGACACGGGGGCCGUGUAUCUGUGGGUGACAUGUGGGUGACACGGGGGGCCGUGUAUCUGUGGGUGACACGCAGGUGACACGGGGGGCCGUGUUUCUGUGGGUGACACGCGGGUGACAUGGGGGGUCGUGUAUCUGUGGGUGACACGGGGGUGCUGUGGGGGUGACACGGGGUGUGCGUAUCUGUGGGUGACGCGGGGUCUGCGGGUGACAUGGGGGUGACACGGGGUCUGUGCCGGGCUCCUUGGAUGACACGUAGAGACUGUGGCUGGUUCACUCAAACGCUCACUCCAGCUUCUCCUCGUUCACGUUUUGUCUGUUGUUAAAUGUGUUUGUGGAAGGUAAGCCCUGGUGAUGUCACCUCCCAAGGCGGGCUUGGGGCUGCUUCCUGAACCCCAAGCCCGUUUCCUCGCCUGCACAAAAGGGAGGACCCCCAGGAGCCGCGCAUGGAGACAUCGGCUC